AUACGUAGGGUGCAAGCGUUAAUCGGAAUUACUGGGCGUAAAGCGUGCGCAGGCGGUUUUGUAAGACAGAGGUGAAAUCCCCCGGCUCAACCUGGGAACCGCCUUUGAGACUGCAAGGCUAGAGUACGGCAGAGGGAGAUGGAAUUCCGCGUGUAGCAGUGAAAUGCGUAGAUAUGGGGAGGAACACCGAUGGCGAAGGCAAUUCUCUGGGACUGUUGUGACGCUCAUGCGCGAAAGCGGGGAGAGCAAACAGGAUGAGAUACCCGGGUAGUCCACGCCCUAAACUAUGUCAACUGGGUGUUGGGGCUUCAUUGACUCAGUAACGAAGCUAACGCGUGAAGUUGACCGCCUGGGGAGUACGGCCGCAAGGUUGAAACUCAAAGGAAUUGACGGGG
rnacentral:rRNA from 1 species